UCCUUUCAAUGUAACCAAAAGGAAAACCUAAUCGUUUUGGUUACUGCUGCCGUCAGAAUAAGAAUAAUUGGCAUGUUAUAUAUCUUGAUAUCACCAUUGAAAAAGAAAAAAUAUUAAAUUGUUCUUUUUACUAAUCAUGGGAGAAGCUAGGAGAAAAUGGAGGGAAUAAAUGAAAGCAUGAGAAAAAGAAAUAAGAGAAAAAUUCGAACGCACUUUCUGAACAGAACAGAACUACCCAACAUCAUUCUUCUGAAACCAAUCAGAAGAAGUGGAUCAAAGAAUCAGAAGACAGACGGACAACACCCCAAAUUGUUUCACACUUGCACGGUGUAGGCUACAGAAAAUAACAAGAGCAACUUCUGAAAAAGAUUCAUUUUUGAUGCGUAGAUCCUUUCAAACUUCUCAUGACAACAACUAUUUUCACUUCUUAUCUCUUCUAUGAAAUUAGUCUUAGCUUCAAUCCAUAUCAAUGUGUUGUGUAAUUUUCUCAACUCGACGGAGGAUUUGAACAAUAUGAUUUGUUGUCAAGCCUCCAAAUUGGUGAUAUAUAUCUUAAGAAGGCAUAUCUUCUCUGCCUCUACCCGAAAAUGUGCUGCCAAAUGAGCUUUUCUUUGAUGAUGUAGUUUGCACAGGAAUGGUGCUACUCUUGGUAAUGGAUGUGGCUCUGGACUGACAGGAAUCAGAGGAAAAUAACCAGUUUGAGAGACUGGCAUCAACUGCAAUUUCUUGCAUCGGAGGUGUGGGUUUCCGUACUUGUUGCUCUAAUGCAAUAUUCUCUUUUCUCUGGCACUUCACUGGUGACAUUCCUUUGGCCUUCACUGCUUUCCACUGACUGAGAUUUUCUACUGGGUUCAGCACAGAAUGAACAUAUUGACUCCUAGAUCGAGCAUUUCGAUUCAUCCCAAUCGAUUUCAAUCCUCCCUCAUUCAAAUCUCCAAGGGGCUUCAGAUUUUCGGAUGUUUCCUCAGAAAACUCAGUUGAGGAUUCUCUCUUAUUUGAACUCGCCGAUAAAGACAUUAAUUUCUCAGAAAACUCUUCUUGGCUUAUUCCCAUAUCAUCAAUACCGCCACCACUUUCGUCAUCCUCGUCAAAAUCAUCAUCAUCAUCAUCCAAGUUACUUUCUUCAUACUCUUCAUCGUAGCUGUCAAUGCAGUUUCGAUAUCUAUAAUUCGAUGGAUAAGGUGCCAUUUUUGUCGCUAUCAAAUCCCCCUCGGCAAGAGACGGAGAUUGGUCUUCUUUUGUAGUUUCUUUGCUAAUCUCUUCUUUGUUUUCAUCUUCCUCAGUUUUCCACAAAUGGUCCGUACUUUCUUCAUUUGGAAUCGGCUCAUAACUCCGGACAUUCAAGUUAAAGCUAACUUUCUUUCUAAUUUUGCAGUUCAAUUGUUCCUUAUUCUUCUUCCUGAGCUCAGAGUUUAUGGGCUCCCCUGUUAUAUCAAGAACCGUAGAAGUUGAAUCCAGAGGUUCAUAGCUACCAAAUCCAUGGUCUCCAUGUUGAACUCUAUUGGCAGGCUUUCUGCGCUUUCCCUUGCAAGAAAGGCCAAAGCAGCCAAGAAAGCACCCCAUCAGAGUUCUCCAAGUUGGGAUGAAGAAUAUGUGGCUAGACGCUCUUCUUGUUCAUGGUGAGAUAGGCUAAAAUACUAAGGGGGGAGAGACAGAGAGAGAUCGUGUAAUGUAGAGAAUGGAAAUUGAAAAG
rnacentral:misc_RNA from 1 species